rnacentral:lncRNA from 1 species
CAAUUUUUUAUAUCUCUGCUUACAUAUAAAGUAUAUUCACACCAUUCAUGACUUCAUACAUGUAUGUAGGGUAAUGAAGUCCAUCUCAUUCCACCAUCUUUUUUACACCCCUUGCCCCCUCCCUCCUCCUCCCUCCCCUUUACCCUAUCUAGAAUUCCUCUAAUCUUCCCAUGUUCCCCCUCCCAACACCACUAUGAAUCAGCUUCCUUAUAUCAGAGAAAACAUUCGGCAUUUGGUUUUUGGGGAUUGACUAAUUUCACUUAGUAUUAUAUUCUCCAACUCCACCCAUUUACCUGCAAAUGUCAUGAUUUUAUUCUCUUUUAUUGUUGAGUAAUAUUCCAUUGUGUAUGUAUACCACCUUUUCUUUAUCCGUUCAUCUACUGAUGGGCAUCUAGGUUGGUUCCACAGUGUAGCUAUUGUGAAUUGUGCUGCUGUAACCAUUGAUGUGGCUGGGUCCCUGUAGUAUGCUCUUUUUAAGUCCUUUGGAUAUAGACUGAGGAGAGGGAUAGCUGGGUCAAAUGGUGGUUUCAUUCCCAGUUUUCCAAGGAAUCUCCUUACUGCUUUCCAUAUUGGCUACAUCAAUUUACAGUCCUACCAGCAAUGUGUACCUUUUCCCCAUGUCCUCGCCAGGACUUGUUGUUUAUCUUCAUAAUAGCUGCCAUUCUGACAGGAGUGAGGUGAAAUCUUAGAGUAGUUUUGAUUUGCAUUUCUCUAAUGGCUAGAGAUGAUGAACAUUUUUUCAUGUAUUUGUUAAUUGAUUGUGUAUCAUCUUCUAAGAAGUGUCUGUUUAGUUACU